rnacentral:rRNA from 1 species
ACGAACGCUGGCGGCGUGCUUCACACAUGCAAGUCGCACGGAUAGGCCCUGCUUUUGUGGGGUGCUCGAGUGGCGAACGGGUGAGUAACACGUGAGUAACCUGCCCUUGACUUUGGGAUAACUUCAGGAAACUGGGGCUAAUACCGGAUAGGAGCUCCUGCUGCAUGGUGGGGGUUGGAAAGUUUCGGCGGUCGGGGAUGGACUCGCGGCUUAUCAGCUUGUUGGUGGGGUAGUGGCUUACCAAGGCUUUGACGGGUAGCCGGCCUGAGAGGGUGACCGGCCACAUUGGGACUGAGAUACGGCCCAGACUCCUACGGGAGGCAGCAGUGGGGAAUAUUGCACAAUGGGCGGAAGCCUGAUGCAGCAACGCCGCGUGCGGGAUGACGGCCUUCGGGUUGUAAACCGCUUUCGCCUGUGACGAAGCGUGAGUGACGGUAAUGGGUAAAGAAGCACCGGCUAACUACGUG